rnacentral:rRNA from 1 species
UACGGGGGGGGCAAGCGUUGUUCGGAAUUACUGGGCGUAAAGGGCGCGUAGGCGGCCUUCUAAGUCGGACGUGAAAUCCCUCGGCUUAACCGAGGAACUGCGUCUGAUACUGGAAGGCUUGAAUCCGGGAGAGGGAUGUGGAAUUCCAGGUGUAGCGGUGAAAUGCGUAGAUAUCUGGAGGAACACCGGUGGCGAAGGCGGCUCUCUGGACUGUAACUGACGCUGAGGCGCGAAAGCGUGGGGAGCAAACAGG